AGUUUGCUUUUUAUAAAUACCAAUUAUUGCGUAGAGAGCGGCGUACGCCUUAUUUUACCCCUGGUCUUGAUUCAGAGGAGCACUCUGGACUUAGUGGUUGGUACUUGGGAUACGCUCUUCACCUGGGACUGCAUUUGGGACUAAAUGGUGUUUUUUUGGUGGUCUUCAUUUGACUAUACUCAAAACUUGCUGGUUUUGACUUGAGACUGGGUUCUUAACUUGUUUUGAGACUUGUCAAACUUCAUGUAGGAUUGGAGUCAGGACGUGAUGGUCUUGAUGGUCAUGAUUUAGGACCAUACACAGGACCAGUUGUUUUUGACUUGAGACUCGCUUCUGGACUAGUAUAGAAUAGUAUUGUUAUAUGUUUGCCUUUGCACUGUAUUCCUUUUGUUUGUAUUUUUGAUUCUAUUGUUUAUUUAAUUGUAAAUUAUCUUUUGUUCAAAGCUAUGUAUGCACCACCCUCCAUGACAAAUUCCUUGUAUGUCUAACAUACAUGGUAAAUAAAUUUCUCUGAUUCCGACAGUACUUGGUCUUAACUUGAUGCUCUAGAUUUAAGACUAGACUGUGGACUUGUUGGUUUAGAUUAUGGUUUCAAAUUGGGGUUUUAUGAUGUUAAUUUACCAUAAUUGUAAUCAAAUCACAAUUCUAUGCAUUUGCUAUUGCAGAACAAGCAUUUCCUCAAGCUGCUCCAUAUCAAGUGCCAUGUCAUUGCGAGAAAAAAAAAAUGUAGAUUGAAGCACCAUAUUUUGUUCAGUGAAAGUUAUAAAUCGUUCAUCGUUCAAUUUUAUAUCUGGGAUUUAACAAUGCCCUGAAGUUAUUUUAAACGGUUGAUACCACGAAUUGGAAACAAUCCUGUAACGCAAAUGACAGGUCUUAUUGUUUGGUGUUUAUUUCACGCAUUAAAAGCUACAACUAAAUACACAAGAAAACACAUUCCGUCACAUGUUAAGAAAAUUAAAUCAGCGUGUCUACAGCUCAAUUGAGUCUUAAAAAUGUAUGUCCCCGAAGGUACGGCGCUACAAAUCCAGUUCGACUUUUCCUUAAACAGUGUUUUAUGUCGUACGCUAGGACAGUAGUUCAGUUUCCCAAACUGGGCUGACAGGUGUCGCAGCUUCAUCACCAGCCCUAAAAAAUACAUUUUAAAAAGUGUUUUACUUUUCCGUUUAAUAGGUGUGAUCUAUUUGCAGGUAACUGGGAAUACAUGACAUCAUGACAUUAGUACCAAUAAAUUAGCUGGCUUCCCAUAGACUUUCAUGCUCCUUUCCCAUCACAACAUGUUUUUCUUUUAGAUAAAGUAAUGUAAUGCUGUGUAUGCUAUAUGUGCUUAGUUUUUCUUGAUCGCUUGAACACGAUUUGGAUCUUUUUGUUUUUCAGAACAGUACAUACAAUUAUCACACCCACAAAC
ensembl:lncRNA